GGAAACACUAUAAUUUUAAAGGCACAUAAUAUGACCACCUUGUAUAUAUACGGAAAAUUUUAUCCAGAUACACGUGUAACCUAUUAUUUACGCAAUUACACUGUCUGCAAAACAGCUCUAUCAGGUUACAUUCUCAGAACUGACAAAAUUGUUCCAGCUGCAUGAUCUUCAGUGCUUGGCACUCAUGCAGCAUUUUGCAGACUCACUAUUAACCUCUCUUCAAGGCAAGUGCUUUAUCAACAUUCUAUUGGUAAACCAUUUACCUGAGACUUUUGUUAACAGAAAUAUCAAACCAUGUCUGACUUAUCUUGCUGGCCUGCGUGUUGAACAUGCUAUUCUUGAAGCUUUUUUGUCUUCCUUUUUGGCAUACCACUCACCAUGUCUGACUUAUCUUGCUGUCAAAUUUCAAAAAGGAAAAUAUGUAGUUAAUAUAACAGGAGGAGGUAAUAAAAUAAGAAAUUUUAGGUCAUUAUCGCCAAAGGUUAAAAAGAUAUAGCCAAAUCAAUCAUGUAUACAAAGAGGAAAAGGCUGUACAGUGACAUCUGACUGGUUUGUUGAUGAUUAUUCAUAGCAUUGUGUCAAUAUGACUAGUUAAGCUGAUUGUUCCCAGACGUAAGCAGUCUUCUAAUGAUUUCUGAUUGAUUGCAGAAGCAGACAGCCUCAUAACGCUAUCUGAUUAAUGGAGUAUCCAUUGGCACUAGUCAAUUUUUAAUUCAUUAGCGUUAUAUACUCGUGCAGUGACGAUAGUUCCAGCAUUGAUCCCCUCUCUUAGCUGGUUCAUACAAUGUUGUGACAUUUCUUAAACCUUCAGGCUCACUCUGUGGUAUAAGAUUGGAGAAGAAUGUUUUGGUGGUAUUUUUUGGCACUGACAAAACAUUGGAAGUAUUAGAUGCUAUUUUCUCUAAAAUAGAAGGGCAGAAUCAUUCUAUGAUAAAGAACAGGAUAGGGUACCAAUCUUGCGCCUUGCAAUCCAUUAUCCUUGCAGAAACGGACUGCCAAAGAUUGAGAAGGGGCAGCUGGGGGGAAAUCUUCAGCUGGCAUUGCAAAUGGACGAACCAUUUUAUCAAAUUUGUCCAAGGUGAGAUAUGAUCCAACUUCCUGCAAUCUUUCUGGCUCCAUAAUUUUCAUAGUGUGAUCAUCAGGUAGCAAUGAAUCUUUUCCAUGUUCGCUCUGUAUGGAUACAUUUUUCAAGAACUGUUGAGUUAAUAACCAGAAAUGUUGAAAACAAACAUCUUACAUUUCAUUUGAAGGGGACCAAACUCACCUGUAAGGAACUUAUAUCUGCACCACGACUAUAUGUCAUUUCUAUGCGAAACCUUUUUGGGUCUUCCAAAGAAACCUGCAAUAGUUGUCCAAUGACAAGAUCAAUAUCACUUCUCACCGGUAGUAUUAGUAAAGUAAAAGCUUAUGAUUACACUAUAAUUUUUUAAUACCUCUGUAUUCUCGAACAUACGCAAUACAAUGUAACUCAUGUAGUCAAGUUCCCUUGUUUUAAACAGAUUAUCUAGAGCAUUUUUGCAAACAAGACUUUCUUCUCCAUCCAUAGAUUCAUCAAAAUUGCAGUAUCGAAGUACAUUCAUUAGAGAAUGUAUAUGUGAUUCCUGACAACAAAAUAAUCCUUAGUCAUUCUUAUCAGGGAGAAGAAAACAAAAACAAAGAAUUUCAGUUAAAAAAAAACUCCAAAGAAAUGUCAUAUAGGAAAUUGUCGUUUCCAUGAUGAUGUAUGCUUUUUAGAGCCUUAGUUUUUAGGGUUUUUUUUUUUUGAAAUUUCUGUAUACUUCUAUAGUUAUAUUGAUAUAUUACCAUAAAUCAAGAAAGCAUAAACUUAACAAUUUGCAAGGGGAAUAUGAAAACUCAAUGUAAUUUGUCUUACUGAUGUAAAAUAGAGCCUUGUUCGAACACGUCGUUCAGGUUCCAUCACAUUGGCAUAUCUACAACAAAAUUAUUUGAAUAUCAAUUGUAUUCUUCAUAGUCAAGAUUCCUAACUGGAAUUUCGUACUUACUUUGGAUCCAAGCAGUAUUUGGUUUCUUUGUGCGAAUCAUCAAGAUCAAUUGACUUCUUGUUUGAGUUAGGUCUAUCAAAACCCUCAUUCUUAACAUCCCCAUAGUAACCCCUAUCCUUCCGUUUUGAAGAAGGCACUAUUGUUGGAUCAUGGCAUGCAUUAGAUUCACCACCAGCAGCAGCAACCUCUCGUCUGGUGUUAUGCAGGUCAAUCAGAAUCUUGCCCAACAAACGGCGUGCAAUCUGAAGAAAAGGACAUGAGAAACAUCAUAAGUUGCUUCUGCUCAUUCUGAUCAGGGGAAGAUCACAAGCAAAGCUACAGAUGCUGCUGCUGGACCUCCUGACCUGAGAACAUUUGCUUAUGCACCAACAAGAUCUACCACCAGCCGUUUUGAUCAGAGUGAAAACACGCGCAAAGCUAUGUGCACUGCGGACAGCCCUCCUGAUAUUAGCACAUUCGAAUAUAAACCCAUGAAAAGCGCCGUCAGACGUUCAGAUGGGAGCAAGUUUUCAGGUGCAGCACUAAAAGCAGCUAGACGAACCUCUCGGAGCUGAUUCUCACAAAAUUGUGGAUGCACCUGCCAGCUUCCUUAUCUGAGCAUGUUUGGAUUUGCGUAUGCCUUCUGUCUGCGUUCAUGAUCUGAGUUCAACAGAAUCAUCCAGCAACAAAUGCUCUCAAUAAAAGUGCAUUCCAUUUUGCCCAAAGUGCAAGCACGGCUGAGGUAGCUGCCAUUCACUACUACUAGCUGCAGGGCUUAUCAGUUCAGACUUCAGAGCUCAUCCGUAUCUGCGCAAUCAGAAGCACACAUGUUCUGAAGGGAAGUGCUUUAUCUUCUCGGUUUCCAGAGCCAAUUAUGUGGCAUUUUGCGAGCCAAAUGUAUGUGCUCGUUUUUGCCUUGUCCAAUGAGGUUCUUGUAUGAACAGCAGUCGAAUUUGCGAUGCUAUUUAAGCCGCAAAUGAGGAUACUGUUGUAUUGUUCCUUUUUGAGAAGAUACUGCUGUAUGUUCAUUCUUAUACAAGUGUGAGCAUUCCUUCAGAAUUCAGAUAGCAUUACUCUUGUCAACUAUUGAUCAAGAUGUUGGAAAGACUUUGAAACCGGCUGUUUAAGCACUUGCCAGCAUUCUACCAGUCUUUCUGAAAGAUUAUAAUAAGAGUAAAUUGCAUAUUGGGAACAAAUUUUUAUCUAGUUUGCAGAUUUUCACUUUAAACCGGCAAACUUCACAAUAGUUGCAAAAUGGACCGGUGUUCUUUUCCAAUCUAAAAUUCCAGUGGCUAGUCUUAAAAUAACGGUGGCCAAACUCUGGGAUUACAACCGAAAUGAAGCUAAUGCAAACAUGGAAUGAAAAAAAAAACGAUACUAUAUAGUUUUCAAAGUAUUCCCUCCGUCCCAUAAUAUAAGGGAUUUUGAGUUUUUGUUUGCUUUGAUGACUCGUCUUAUUUAAAAAUGUUUGGAAUUAUUAUUUAUUUUUUUUGACUUACUUUAUUAUUCAAAGUAUUUUAAACACGAAUUUUUUUGGAAAUAAUACGAUUUUAAUGAAAAAUUGUAAAAAUAUAGGUCGAUUAGGCGAAAUCGCAUGUUUAGCACCCUGUCGAACAACCGUGGUUCGACAGCCAUCUGUCGAACUGGGUAGUUGGUCUAAAAAAAUAUAAAAAAGUACGGCUACAGGAAUCAGCAGGAACAUGUCGAACUGACAAAGUUAGAUAGGGUCACGUGAACAGUCAGAAAUCAGCAGGAACAUGUCGAACUGACAAAGUUAGAUAGGGUCACGUGAACAGUGCCGCUACAGGACAUAUCGAACUUUCAAAGUUCGACAGGUUGCGGCUACAGGUGGCUGUCGAACUACGGUUGUUCGACAGAUACCUCUGUCGAACCACGGUUGUUCGACAGGGUGCUAAACAUGCGAUUUCGCCUAACCGAUCUAUAUUUUUGCGAUUUUUCAUUAAAAUCGUAUUAUUUUCAAAAAAAAUUUCCUUUAAGCACAACUUUUCGUUUUUUAUAUUUGCAUAAAUUUUUUUAAUAAGACAGGUGGUCGUAAGCAAAAGCUCAAAAUCCCUUAUAUUAUGGGACGGAGGGAGUAAUUAAUAUUCAAUUUCUUACUUAUCCAUUGAAAUAUACUCCAUAUAACAAUUGAAGAUACUGCACGAAUCUCCGCGCAAUCAGCCGUGCAGAUUCCCCUACUAUCCCGGCCAGGGAGUACACUUCGGUGGACAUCAUCAUGACCCGUCACCGCAGAGGCAAGCGCGGGCGCGCGAGCCCCGACCCUCCGGCGAAGCGCCGCCGCCGCGGCCGCGGCCACGGCCACGGCCCUGGCCCGCCGGAGUUAGAGGCCGACGAGCUGGAGGCUCCUCCGGCGCCGGUACAGGCUCCAUCGGCGGCGGCGGCGGCGGCUUCGGAGCCGUUGCUAGUGAUGGUCGCGGGGCUGCCGCCCGGGUGCGGCGUGAUGGAGCUCAAGUCGCGGCUCGGGGCGUACGGCCCCAUCGCGCGCACCCGCAUAGACGCCGCCUCGGCCACCGGGUACGUCACCUUCCGCUCCGCCGCGGCCGCCAUGGCCGCCAUUGCUGCCUCCCUCGACCCCGACGGUGGCGUCACCGUCGGAUCCAAGAAGGUAAGGAGAUCUGCGUGCUGCAGUUGGAUGAGCUCGAUUUCAACUUGCUGUGCGUGUAGAGGAAUGCAGUACAGCCUGUACAGGGUCAAGCUUUGCUGAGAAUUGUUUGAAGGCGCUGCUAGAUUUGAGAAUUUUAUAGAUUGGCAUCACAUCCGGCCUUUUAUCUCGACUUUAAAGUUCUGAUGGAUGAUGGAUUAUGGAUCAAACAGAGUUUAUGAAAAUUAUUUGAGGGCACAGACGAGAGAAUUUAGUAUUAGAAAGUUGAAAGGUUGACUUUAAAAAGUUCUCUAAGAAAUGCCGAUGAAGAAAGUUUAUGCAAAAAUCAUACCGUUUGGGAGUUUGGGAAGUGCGCCCGCAAUAAUCAAAAAUCCGUGAGAGGAAAAGAAUGCUUUUUUUAAUUAUUUUUCAUCUCAUUUUAUACUCUGCAUUUGCUGUUUCAUUCUAGCAUUUUGGAUUUAAUUAAUGUGCUAGUUAUUCAAUUAACUUACACAUUUGCUGGGCUCUACAAAACCUACUCAAUUCCGUGAUGAACUGGCUACCUUAAAUUCAGUCCAAGGUUACAGUCAACCAUUUUAUCUGGUACAAGUCUAUAAGAUAGUAAAUUAUAUUCAAUAUUGAUCUUGUUUACAUCCAGACUGUGCUGGUAUCUUCGCUGUCACAAUUUGUUCAUGUUAACGGUCGUUUAAAACCAAGUAGAAUACAGAUUUAGUUUAGAAAAAAUAAACAAUAAACUUAUUUUGCACUUUAUUUUAGUCGAAAUGCAUCUGCACUUUGGUUGUGCAGCAGGCACAAAAUAAACAGAACAAAAUUUCUAACAGAUUCAGGGGAAGCUAUAGCAUGCUACACAUGUUUUGAGCCAUUUGGUACUCUUGCUCUUCGAUACUCAGAUUGCUGGUUCUUUCAUGGGUUGCAGGUUUUAGUUGUACAGGCAAGCGAGGCGCCGAAUGACUUGAGAAGUACAGCUCAAGCCAACCCAGUGGGGGAGAAUACGCAUGAUGCGACGAAGAGGAAUGCAAGCGAAUCUUCAGCGUUCUCGAGCACGAAAGCGGCUCCAGAAGGAACCUACAAAGCUAGAGAAAUAGUCGCCUACGAUGAUCUGUUCUGAACUUCUAAUAACCAGCCUUCUUUAGGGAGGAGGUGAGACAACCAUUCAGGUUUGUUCUUGUACACUGCUAGGGUCUUUAGGUGAGUAAGCUAUGGGUAUUUUUUAGUGUGUGAAGGUACCUUCAGAUGGGUAGGUGUUUCUUGUAUUCAGCAUGUAUUGUGGAAGUUAUCAUCAAAACAUGAGAAUUUAUGUAUGUUAGAUUGUUAAUAUUGACAGUGCCUUACCAUCUUCUCAAAAUUUCUAUUCAAGUGCAUUCGACUAUUAUUCGUGGCUACUUUGAAAACAUUUGAAAAAGAUUUAGCAAAAAAAAAAAGAUCAAAAGUGUUUUGAUCGAUUCAAUAUUUGACACCGUUUCAUAAAAGGCAGAAGAACCGUCUGAUCAAAGAGGUGAAAAAAAAGGAAUCUGGGAGUUGUGCUUCGUAUCACAUCAGUCUAUACCAGUAAAAAUAGAGCAAAAGUAAAUCGAAUAUAUCACACUGGCAUGUCACAAAUAUACAAGGUAUUAUUCCGGGAAUGUUCAGCGAGUACUUUUUGUUAAACAUGUUCGAUUAAAACGCUCCAACCUGUAAAGCUCUAAAAAUAACGCUCUUAGCAAACGCCUAAAGUAGCAGAAUUUUCUAGUGAAAUUAUUCUGAAGACGGAAACACUAUAAUUUUAAAGGCACAUAAUAUGACCACCUUGUAUAUAUACGGAAAAUUUUAUCCAGAUACACGUGUAACCUAUUAUUUACGCAAUUACACUGUCUGCAAAACAGCUCUAUCAGGUUACAUUCUCAGAACUGACAAAAUUGUUCCAGCUGCAUGAUCUUCAGUGCUUGGCACUCAUGCAGCAUUUUGCAGACUCACUAUUAACCUCUCUUCAAGGCAAGUGCUUUAUCAACAUUCUAUUGGUAAACCAUUUACCUGAGACUUUUGUUAACAGAAAUAUCAAACCAUGUCUGACUUAUCUUGCUGGCCUGCGUGUUGAACAUGCUAUUCUUGAAGCUUUUUUGUCUUCCUUUUUGGCAUACCACUCACCAUGUCUGACUUAUCUUGCUGUCAAAUUUCAAAAAGGAAAAUAUGUAGUUAAUAUAACAGGAGGAGGUAAUAAAAUAAGAAAUUUUAGGUCAUUAUCGCCAAAGGUUAAAAAGAUAUAGCCAAAUCAAUCAUGUAUACAAAGAGGAAAAGGCUGUACAGUGACAUCUGACUGGUUUGUUGAUGAUUAUUCAUAGCAUUGUGUCAAUAUGACUAGUUAAGCUGAUUGUUCCCAGACGUAAGCAGUC
rnacentral:lncRNA from 1 species